CGCGCAAGUGCGUACCACAAAAACAUCAAAGAGUGGGUAAGUAUACAUUAUAUGAUUAGAACUUCGUUAAUAGAGAAUGGAACGUGUGGAGGAAGAAAGCGGCGUUUAGGCACCUUUAAAUGCUUGAGAGAGACUCUUCUUUAAUUAUUGAUGGAGCCUUAACCAUUUUAAACCACAGAGCAUUCCAACCAACUCUUGAUCAUAGGUCUACAUGGGACUAGCUGUACAACGUGGAAAAGUCAUAGUUCCUCAAAAAACACGAAGUUCUUUUUAAAUUUUCAAGUUGCAAUGAUUAUUUACUACGAUUCAAGAACAGUUCUAUCGUGAUUGUAAAUGGCAAAACAUAAAAAUUAUUGAUAGCUAUGGGGAAAUAAUUACUUACUAUUAUUUGUGGUAUGAAUAGUAAUAGUAAUAAGUUUAUGCAUGCUAGCUAGGAUUGUGAAGAAGAGUUGUAUGAGCUAUGUAGAACUUUAUCUUUAACAUGCCUCACAAGAUAGGGGCCCUAUUGAUAAUUCUUACCUUGGACCGUAAUAACAUGCCGCCCCAAAAUUGCUUACACUCAUAGCUUGUUGCCCUACUAACAUACUUGGAUCUUAUACUAAAAUAGAUUUAGUUACUGGAGAAGGAGAAUAACAACAAUGAAGAAUCAACGAGAAAAGAGAGGAGAGUAGUGGUUGGGGUGGGAAAUAGUUUUUGUGUUAAAAAACGAAGUAUCUAUAAGGAAAGAAAAUUCUAGUAUCUUUUUCGAAUACUUCAGGAAAUUAUUAGCUAUACCCUAUAGGGAAUUAGAUAGAAAAAUUAAAACAAUUAAGUUGAAAUCGGCAACAGUUUGAACUAAGAAUUGUGAGCUUAUUUGAUCAUUCAACAAAUUCCUAAAAUUGAAGGUUGAGCUUUCAUCAGACGUUUUGAAAAUCAAAACUAAAAGAAAAUUGACGGAGAUAUGCUUCUCCUAUGAAGGAAUCAUUUUUAGAGAGAAAGGGUUAGGAAUGAGUCUACCGGGGCAAAAAUAUUAAUAAAAGGAUAAAAAAUAUAUUUUAAGAAGAAAUAUAUCCCAACUUUCAGCUGAAAACAAAAGUCAUCCA
rnacentral:lncRNA from 1 species